UUAAAUGAAUUAGAAGAAAUCUUAGAUGUAAUUGAACCAUCAGAAUUUGUGAAGAUCAUGGAGCCUCUUUUCCGACAGUUAGCCAAAUGUGUUUCCAGCCCUCACUUCCAGGUGGCAGAGCGGGCGCUGUAUUACUGGAACAAUGAGUACAUCAUGAGUUUAAUCAGUGACAAUGCAGCGAAGAUUCUGCCCAUCAUGUUUCCAUCCUUAUACCGCAACUCAAAGACCCACUGGAACAAGUAGGACCCGGAGGCCAUUAGCUCCUGGCCACUUACAUAGUGCAUGCCUUGCUGUCACUGCGGUCACAGCUGAAAUCUAACCCUACCGUCAGCUUUUUAAGUGAACAUCAAUUUCUUUGGGAUGAUGUUUUGUUUGGGGGCAGGGGGUGUGUGUUUGGUUUUGAUUUUGGUUUGGUUUGUUUGAGACACAGUUUCUCUGUGUAGCCCUGGCUGUCCUGAAACUCACUCUGUAGACCAGGCUGACCUCAACUGCUCUGUCUCCUCAGUGCUGGGAUUAAAGGUGUGUGACUGUCACCUCCUGGCUCAUUGUGGCUUUUUCAGUUAAGCAGCAGUGUGGAUUAUCUCUGUGGCGUGUUUUGUCUCCUUAGCCCCAUGCCACACCAGCAUGGGGCCUGUGUGUCUGCACCCCUCUUCCUGCUGGGGGCAGCACCUUCCAGGCCACUCCUGCAGCCUGCAAGGGAGUUCAAAGGUCACUGAGGAGUUCACAGGACUCAGUCCUGCAGGACUCAGUGGACACACCAGUCCUUAAGUGGCCCUUCAAGUCCCAUGGCAUAUCAGAGGAGCUCCUUGUUAAACUCAAUGGCCACCCUGCUGUGGACAGUAACUAGAGCGUGAAAACGAUGAGCAGCAGGUAACUUAAAUGGCCUGAGGAAUGAGGACGGUUCAGUCCUCUGCUUUCAUCUCACUUCAGAGGAAAAGGAAAUCAGUCCCUCCGUUGAAAGCUCUCUGACACCCUGGAGGAACUCCCUCCUCAUGGGUGCCAGGUGCGUUUGAUGCUGGACUUCAUUCUCAGCUUUACCCAAAUGUGGGUGCCAAAGCUCCCCUUUCCUCAGAGGGGCAUCCUAAGCACAGUCUUUGUGUUACUGCCAUCUGAAUAACUUACCCACAGCUCCUUUCAGAACUCCACAUUUUCUAUUCUGUCUUCAGGCAAAGUGGCUUUGCCUGCUCUUAGCCAGGAAGGUGGUCUUCCUGGCCUGACAGGUACUGUAAGCACUGACCCAGCAAACAGCGGAGUCAGGACUAGC
rnacentral:lncRNA from 1 species